UUGCAUAUUACAGGGUAAGACCUCCAUUGGCAGGCAGCAACUAUGAGAAUGAUCGAGUUGGCACCACCGCCACAAAUCUCUCUAUAGUGUGCAUCCUGCCAAAGGAGAUUUGCCCAGCAAUUCUCCU
rnacentral:pre_miRNA from 1 species